GGGGCUGACUUGGAUUUCGACAGAUUUCUUGUCGCACAGAUAGCAUGCCAAGUGCUGCUUGUAAAACAGCAACAAAAAUAACUGUAAACAACACAGAUUACGCUCCAGCUUACGCUAAAGCUGCGUGAGUUAAUCUCCUUUUGGAGCUGGACUGAUUAGAAUUUCUAGCGUUUUAAUCACUCCAUAACCUUAAGCUAGACGCUUUUAAAAGGUGGUUCGCCUUUUAAACUAAGAAACAAGAACUCUUGAAACUACCUCAAGGUUUUAGAAAGUUGGACCAGAGCUAGUUUUAAGGCUAAAAAACUAACCAAUUUUCUAAGCAUUGUAGAAGUUUGUGUUUAGGGCAAGAUUUUUGGACUGGGGUUCGAUUCCCCACAGCUCCACCA
rnacentral:tmRNA from 1 species